rnacentral:lncRNA from 1 species
CUUUGCAAUAACUCAUUUCUCUUGAAUUGGUAUAUUCUAUAUGAUGUGCAACUCAUUCUCUCCAAUGAAAUAGAUUAUGAACAUUUUGGAAUAUCAAGGAAAGGAUCUGACGACACUUCAGAUCAACAUUGCACUAUCUUUUAUGAUAAGGAAAAGGUGAAAUAUCUAACUCUUUUUCUUUAUCAGGAAAAUCAAAAAUAUAAUUUCUUUCUAAAACAUUACCUAAUUGAUGCAGGUUGAGCUGCUGGAAGGUGGAACUUUUUGGUUGUCAGAGUCGCCUUCAGUGCCUGGAAGCACAUCAUGGGGGUCUGCAGAUCCAUGCAUUGCAACGUGGGCUAUAUCCUUUAGCGCUUCUAUAAGGUGUCUUAAAUUAUUAUUUGCCGCAUAGUACUACUGCAUGCAAUAACUGUGCGAACUUUGUUUACCUUGAUAAAUUGUGUACACAUUCCAACUAAAAGGAGUUGAGCCACCGGGUUUUUCGUUUGAAAUCGUGAAUACAAACAUGGAUGAGUUCAGUCCUCGUGCUCGUAGGCGGGGUGCUUUGCUCACAUGGCAGCAUAUUGCAUCCUUACCUCCUAGCUUGCCUGUUGUGUAUUGUGGAGGAUUUAAUACACAAAAGGAAUCAACUACAGGACGUUUUCUUCUUGGACGAUCAAGGUAUUACUUUCAGUUUCUAUAUGUCGUUCAUCUUUUAGCAAAUCUAUCCUCUUUUCUUUUCUCGUACUAGUAAAGCUCAACUUGAUCAAUAGCAGUUAUAUUCACACAUGAAUCAAGUGAUCCUGGUUUUAUUGAACCUUCACUUCAGAAUAUUAGAAACGAACAGUUGACUUGACCCGAAUUCACAGAGCUCACAAUGGCAAAGCCGCCAUUGUCUUAAUCCUAGAUUUACAAUGGGUGAUAACUAUCCUGAAACUAGACCAGUUAGGAUUAUAUUUUUUAUGUAUUCAAAAGUAAAGUUGUCAAAUGCGAGUUGUGGCCACUUGUGAGCCUUGUGAAUUUAAGUGUUACUAAUAAAAAAUGACUAGUUUUAAAUAAUUGCAGAAGAAAUGGAGCAGGUGUAGAACUGAUAUAAACAAGAAAGAUUACACAACGCUUUUGCCUUUUCAGAAUGCUGCAACCGUUUGUCCUGAAAUUCCUUCUAAUGAGCCUGAAGUUUGUUGUGUUUAUCCUCUUGCUGGAUGCUAAUAUUAGUUGGAACACUGGAUAGCUGCUUACUUUUUUCUCAUUAUUUCUAUUUUAGAGAACAUGGCGUUGUAGGUGAUAUGAGAGAUGCAUGGCCAAAUGCCCGUGUGAGGAAAAACGUCUCUCUAAUUCGGACUUAUCAUGGAUUUAAAGGUGAUGACUUAUCCUCUACGCUACCAUUGACUUCUAAUGGGCUAAACUCUUUAAAACCACGUAACCUAGAUUGUGUCAGGUAACAAGCAGGGGACUCUUGAAUUCCUGAAGUUAAUAUUCAGAGCACUUUGCCUCUGCUGGGAUCGCCAAACCCAGGAUCUGCACAUCGAUUGGAUACUUUUUAGGGGUAGAUCACUGGUACCUGUCUCUUGUGAGGUCGUGAAUGAUAAUGUUGAUGGACUUUAUCCUUCGUCUCACUAUCCUAUAUUUGCUGAAUUUAUGCUUCCCCGUGCUGUGAGAUUGAUCGAGCCACCCACUCAAGAUUGAAACCACUAUCCAUCGCCCACCCGGGUUUUGGUCCCUCUGUUUUAGUACAAUGUUCAUCAAUCUUUUGGUUUUCUACUUCUAAUGUGUCUUCGUGUUUGUUGACUAUGUUAAACAUCGUGAGUUUUUCCAUCAAGGAUUGGUGCGUAAGUAGUGCCUACAAGGUGUUGAAGAUGACGGAUUUUAUUUACGUGCUUGACUAUCUCUUUUGCAAUAAAAAGAAUUUUUUUUUUCAA